rnacentral:rRNA from 1 species
CCUACGGGGCGCAGCAGUGGGGAAUAUUGCACAAUGGGGGAAACCCUGAUGCCGCGACGCCGCGUGAGGGAAGAAGUAUCUCGGUACGUAAAGCUCUAUCAGCAGGGAAGAAAAUGACGGUACCUGACUAAGAAGCCCCGGCUAACUACGUGCCAGCAGCCGCGGUAAUACGUAGGGGGCAAGCGUUAUCCGGAUUUACUGGGUGUAAAGGGGGCGUAGACGGCAGAACAAGUCUGGAGUGAAAUCCCGGGGCUUAACCCCGGAACUGCUUUGGAUACUGUGCGGCUGGAGUGCAGGAGGGGUAAGCGGAAUUCCUAGUGUAGCGGUGAAAUGCGUAGAUAUUAGGAGGAACACCGAUGGCGAAGGCGGCUUACUGGACUGUAACUGACGUUGAGGCUCGAAAGCGUGGGGAGCAAACAGGAUUAGAUACCCUAGUAGUC